AGCCGGCGAGUACCUGCAGGUGGAUAUCGGAAGAGAGGUGCUGCUAACCAAGAUAGCGACUCAAGGCAGGGGAAUUUCCCUUCAGUGGGUCACAUCGUACGAGUUGAGCCACAGUCGGGAUGGACAAGCUUGGACUCCUUACUACGACGAACAGGGGCACGCAAAGGUAUUCCCCGGCAACCAAGACAAUAGCACCGUGGUCUCUCAUCCGCUUCCCUACCACCCAAGAGUACGUUACGUCCGCAUCAUCGCUAAGACCUGGCAUGAACACAUCUCCCUGCGAGCUGAGCUGUAUGGAUGCGACCUAUAAGAUUCUGUCUCUGUGACAUAUAUUUAUGUAGUAUAGUGUGGACCUGGCAUAAGCACAUCUCCCUGUGAUCUGAGCUGUAUGGAUGUAAUCUAUAAGAUGCUGUCCUGUCUGACUGAUAUUUGAUAGUAUAGUGUGGACCUGGCGUAGGCACGUCUCCCUGCGAGCUAAGCUGUAUGGAUGUAAUCUAUAAGAUGCUGUCCUGUCUGACUGAUAUUUAUGUAGUAUAAUGUGGACCUGGCAUGGGCACAUCUCCCUGCGAGCUGAGCUGUAUGGAUGUAAUCUAUAAGAUGCUGUCCUGUCUGACUGAUAUUUAUGUAGUAUAGUGUGGACCUGGCAUGGGCACAUCUCCCUGC